rnacentral:rRNA from 1 species
AUGCCUAACACAUGCAAGUCGAACGAGACCUUCGGGUCUAGUGGCGCACGGGUGCGUAACACGUGGGAAUUUGCCUCGGGGUAUGGAAUAACUCAGGGAAACUUGAGCUAAUACCAUAUAAUGUCUUCGGACCAAAGAUUUAUCGCCCUGAGAUAAGCCCGCGUAGGAUUAGCUAGUUGGNGAGGUAAAGGCUCACCAAGGCGACGAUCCUUAGCUGGUCUGAGAGGACGACCAGCCACACUGGGACUGAGACACGGCCCAGACUCCUACGGGAGGCAGCAGUGGGGGAAUUUUGGACAAUGGGCGCAAGCCUGAUCCAGCAAUGCCGCGUGCAGGAUGAAGGCCUUCGGGUUGUAAACUGCUUUUGUACGGAACGAAACGGUGAGCUCUAAUACAGUUUGCUAAUGACGGUACCGUAAGAAUAAGCACCGGCUAACUACGUG